GUGGUGUCCACUGUAGG
rnacentral:misc_RNA from 1 species